rnacentral:rRNA from 1 species
AGAACGAACGCUGGCGGCGUGGAUAAGACAUGCAAGUCGAACGGGACAGUUUGGUAGCAAUAUUAAAUUGUUCAGUGGCGAACGGGUGCGUAACACGUGGACAACAUUCCGGAAAGUGGGGAAUAGCCCAGGGAAACUUGGAUUAAUGCCCCAUGUGGUCGAAAGACUAAAGGCGCAAGCCGCUUUCCGAUUGGUCCGCGGCCUAUCAGCUAGUUGGCGGGGUAAUGGCCCACCAAGGCUACGACGGGUAGCUGGUCUUAGAGGACGACCAGCCACACUGGAACUGAGACACGGUCCAGACACCUACGGGUGGCAGCAGUCGAGAAUCUUUCACAAUGGGGGC